CAGAAGGUAGUUUAGUCAAAAUCUUAGCUUUGGGAGUUAAGGAUAAGAGUUAAAGUCUCUUCUUUCUGA
rnacentral:tRNA from 1 species